AGCGAACGUUAGCGGCGGGCCUAACACAUGCAAGUCGAACGCGAAAGGUCUUCGGACUGAGUAGAGUGGCGCACGGGUGAGUAACACGUAGGUAAUCUACCCUUUGGCGGGGGAUAACGUUCCGAAAGGAGCGCUAAAUACCGCAUAAGACCACGUGGUCUCCGGACCGAGUGGGAAAAGGUGGCCUCUUCUUGAAAGCUACCACCGAAGGAUGAGCCUGCGUCCCAUCAGCUAGUUGGUAAGGUAAUGGCUUACCAAGGCGAAGACGGGUAGCUGGUUUGAGAGAAUGAUCAGCCACACUGGCACUGGAACACGGGCCAGACUCCUACGGGAGGCAGCAGUGAGGAAUAUUGGGCAAUGGGCGAAAGCCUGACCCAGCCACGCCGCGUGAGUGAUGAAGGCCCUCGGGUCGUAAAAGCUCUGUGGAGAGGGACG
rnacentral:rRNA from 1 species